UCAGGAUGAACGCUAGCUACAGGCUUAACACAUGCAAGUCGAGGGCAGCAUGAUCGAAGCUUGCUUUGAUUGAUGGCGACCGGCGCACGGGUGAGUAACGCGUAUCCAACCUUCCCUAUAGUAGAGGAUAGCCCGGCGAAAGUCGGAUUAAUACUCUAUGUUUUCCAAUGCAGACAUCUAAGUUGGAACAAAGGUUCACCGCUAUAGGAUGGGGAUGCGUCUGAUUAGGUUGUUGGCGGGGUAACGGCCCACCAAGCCUACGAUCAGUAGGGGUUCUGAGAGGAAGGUCCCCCACAUUGGAACUGAGACACGGUCCAAACUCCUACGGGAGGCAGCAGUGAGGAAUAUUGGUCAAUGGGCGAGAGCCUGAACCAGCCAAGUAAGCGUGCAGGAUGACGGCCCUAUGGGUUGUAAACUGCUUUUAUACGGGGAUAAAGUGAGGGACGUGUCCCUUUUUGUAGGUACCGUAUGAAUAAGGACCGGCUAAUUCCGUGCCAGCCGCAGC
rnacentral:rRNA from 1 species